rnacentral:rRNA from 1 species
GUGUCAGCAGCCGCGGUAAUACGGAGGGUGCGAGCGUUAUCCGGAAUCACUGGGUUUAAAGGGUGCGUAGGCGGCCUGGUAAGUCAGGGGUGAAAGCUUCCCGCUCAACGGGAGGACUGCCCUUGAUACUGUCAGGCUCGAAUUGGGUUGAGGCGGGCGGAAUGUGGCAUGUAGCGGUGAAAUGCUUAGAUAUGCCAUAGAACACCGAUUGCGAAGGCAGCCCGCCAAGCCUUGAUUGACGCUGAGGCACGAAAGCGUGGGGAGCGAACAGGAUUAGAUACCCUGGUAGUCC